GCUCCAGUGUCCUAGUGGUUAGAGCGUCCGACUCGGAUGCGGAAGGUCGUGGGUUUGAUCCCCGACCGAGUCA